rnacentral:rRNA from 1 species
UACCAGCACCCCGAGUGGUCGGCACGAUUAUUGGGCCUAAAGCAUCCGUAGCCGGUCAUGCAAGUCCUCCGUUAAAUCCACCUGCUUAACAGCUGGGCUGCGGAGGAUACUACAAGGCUAGGAGGCGGAAGAGGCAAGCGGUACUCAGUGGGUAGGGGUAAAAUCCUCUGAUCCAUUGAAGACCACCAGUGGCGAAGGCGGCUUGCCAAUACGCGCUCGACGGUGAGGGAUGAAAGCUGGGGGAGCAAACCGG